GAGAGAAGCUCGUUUUGCUGAGGCAUGCAUACCCUCCACACAUGAUUUAUAAUGUGGAUGAGUCAGGUGUCUUUACAGCACAAAAGCCACAGCAGCAGAUGUGGUGAAGAAGAUGCCUGAACCUAAGAGGCGUGGUGGAACCACCCGUAGAGAGCAAUUGUUCAUCUUCGCCUGCAAGAGUAGAGAAUGACUGAUGCUCUAAUUUAGGAUCUAGUCCUGUUGAGUCCCAGGCUGUUCUGGCUCUAAGGGUCCUGUGUUCUGACCCACAGACUGUGUUCUG